UUCUCAUAUCUGAUUUUUCUUUGGUCUCUGUAAUCAAACAAGGUUGCCAUUUUUUCUUCUGACUGAGAUCACUCCAAAAAGAAUAGAUGUUCAUAAUGCCACAGAGGUGGCUCGUUUUGUGGAAGAAUUGUUAAUCACAUCUCAAUGGGGAUGCUGAAAUUGCAUGGCCAAAAGGAAGAAGCUCUGCUGAAAAAAUAUUCAAUGAUUAAUGUUGUUUUAUCAUACUCUAUCUAUUUCUUUUGCUUCUUUAUGGAAGCUUUGUGAAAUCUAACUUAUAUCAGAUGCUAAAUCUUACUUCCUUCA